CGGGAUGUAGCGCAGCUUGGUAGCGCGUCUGGUUCGGGACCAGAAGGCCGCAGGUUCAAAUCCUGUCAUCCCGACCA
rnacentral:tRNA from 2 species